rnacentral:rRNA from 1 species
UACGUAGGGGGCUAGCGUUGUCCGGAUUCAUUGGGGCGUAAAGAGCUCGUAGGCGGCCACUCAAGUCGAAUGUGAAACCUCGAGGCUUAACCUCGAGCCUGCAUUCGAUACUGGGGCGGCUAGAGUCUGGUAGGGGGGAUCUGGAAUUCCUGGUGUAGCGGUGGAAUGCGCAGAUAUCAGGAGGAACACCGGUGGCGAAGGCGGAUCUCUGGGGCCUUUACCUGACGCUGAGGCGCGAAAAGCUAGGGGGGAGCGAACAGG